rnacentral:rRNA from 1 species
UGCCCUAGUAACGGCGAGUGAAGCGGCAACAGCUCAAAUUUGAAAUCUGGCCCCAGGCCCGAGUUGUAAUUUGCAGAGGAUGCUUUUGGCAAAGCGCAUACCGAGUCCCCUGGAACGGGGCGCCACAGAGGGUGAGAGCCCCGUAUGGUACGACGCCGAGCCUCUGUAAAGCUCCUUCGACGAGUCGAGUAGUUUGGGAAUGCUGCUCUAAAUGGGAGGUAAAUUUCUUCUAAAGCUAAAUACCGGCCAGAGACCGAUAGCGCACAAGUAGAGUGAUCGAAAGAUGAAAAGCACUUUGAAAAGAGGGUUAAAUAGCACGUGAAAUUGUUGAAAGGGAAGCGCUCGUGACCAGACUUGCGCCGGGCGGAUCAUCCAGCGUUCUCGCUGGUGCACUCCGCCCGGCUCAGGCCAGCAUCGGUUUUCGCCGGGGGACAAAAGCUUCGGGAACGUGGCUCCCUUCGGGGAGUGUUAUAGCCCGUCGUUUAAUACCCCGGCGGGGACCGAGGACCGCGCUUCGGCAAGGAUGCUGGCGUAAUGGUCAUCAGCGACCCGUCUUGAAACACGGACCGAGGAGUCAAGCAUUAGUGCGAGUGUUUGGGUGUAAAACCCGCACGCGUAAUGAAAGUGAACGUAGGUGAGAGCUUCGGCGCAUCAUCGACCGAUCCUGAUGUUUUCGGAUGGAUUUGAGUAGGAGCAU